UGAUUUCGGAUCAAGACUCUGGCGCAGCAGCAGUACGUACAACAGGAGAACUGAGUUUAUUUGAAGGGUUUUUAUUGUUCAGACUGGAAGCAGAGAAAACAGGAAAUCCAAUGCGGUGUCUCACUGCAAAACAGGUCAGGUGAUCAGUAAGAGUUCCAGCUGAUGUUGAGAUGAACAGUGAGGGCAGACUUACUUCUCAGGGCUUGGAAACAGGCUAAGAAGGAGAGCAACAGUGUCCACAGAGAGGGGGUGAAGACCUUCGAGUUACCAGGUUCUUUUGGCGUUGGAGGGUGGACAGGCAGGUGAGCUCGUCUUUAGCGGAUCUUGAAAGGAAGCUCUUGGGGAGGAGUGGAAAGCGCCGUUUAGGGAGGAACAGGAGCAAACCUUCAGCAGGAGGAAAACUAAAAGGAAGUCAGAGACACGACUGGGAAUCCACUCCUCUAAAUACUGCUUCCUUGAUUGAGGCUGAUGAGUACCAGCUGGGAGCCACACCUGCCUGGCACACCCUGAAAAUGAAGGUUACUUUGAAGCAAUGUGACGCGCUUGACUUAGAGUUGUUGAAAUCCCCUGCGGAUUACAAGGCAGCAGCCAACAACAAAGAAACAACUGAAAAGAUAGAAACCUGC